CGUCCACACGCCCUCUCGGACCGUCCGUUUCCUCCUAGCUCGGCGGGCCGCGGGAUAGGGCGUCGACGCGCGGCUCCGCACGCCUGCGGCCGGGCGCACGGGAAGCCCCGAGGCCCGCAUGGGCGCCGCGCCGACGCCCCCUGCCGGCCGGCCGGCGCCCCGCGCUCGCCGGCCCGCGCCCAACGCUCGGCCCCUAGACGUCCGCGGCCGGAUGCCCAGCGUCCGCACCGUCCUCGGCCUCCUGGCGGCUUUGGCGGCCUGCGGCGCCGUCGCCUUCCUGGGCUACUGUGUUUACUUCGACCGGAAGCGGCGUGGCGACCCCGCGAUCAGGCGCCGCCUGCGAGACAAAAGAAGAGCCCAGCAGCGGAAGGCUGAGGGACCCGGCGCCCAGUUGUGGGAUCCGGCAAAGAAUGAAAAAUUGCAAGAACUUUUUCUGCAAGAGAUACGAAUGGGACAACUUUGGUUAUCCAGAGGAGAGUGUCAGCUGGGGGUUGAACAUCUCAGCACUGCCCUUUUAGUGUGUGGACAACCACAGGAACUUCUGAAGGUUUUCAAACACACACUUCCUCCUCAAGUAUUUGAGAUGCUGUUGCACAAAAUUCCCCUUAUUUGCCAGAAUCCCCCUUAAUAUUGCAGUACUGGGUAUUUACGCCAAAGAUACAGAUGUAGUGAAAAGAAGAGCCAUCUGUACCCCAAUGUUUAUAGUAGCAAUGGUCACGGUUGCCAAACUUUGGAAAGAACCAAGAUGCCCUUCAACGGACGAAUGGAUAAGGAAGAUGUGGUCCAUAUACACUAUAGAGUAUUAUGCCUCCAUCAGAAAGGAUGACUACCCAACUUUUGUAGCAACAUGGAUGGGAUUGGAGGAGAUUAUGCUGGGUGAGUUGGAGCUGAAGAAGCCAGCAAUCUGCAAAUGCCAAUGGGCACAGUCAAAACCCCCCAUCUCUCCAAAGCUGGCGCUCUCUAGCCAAAGAGCCAGGAAAGGGGAAGCCUGUAAAAUAGAAAACUUUUAAACAAUAACUGUAUACUCCAGGCAAACAAAAACACUGUGGCCUGCAUCCCCCAUCCACCACAUCACUAUAAGCCAACUGAGGAGCCUACAUUUCCACCCUCACUAAGCUGUAAUGAGGCACUAAGUCCCCCAGACUUCACAGAAGGGAGACUAGGAAGCAAGGACUUUCAUCCUUACUGGGCUUUAAUGACGGCUACCCCAUCCCCAACAAGUAUCAGUGGAAACAACAUGAGGAACCUGGACUUGUA